rnacentral:rRNA from 1 species
GCGAAAUGCGAUACGUAGUGUGAAUUGCAGAAUUCCGCGAAUCAUCGAGUCUUUGAACGCAACUUGCGCCCGAGGCUCGUCCGAGGGCAUUUCCGCCAGAGCGUCACGCG